rnacentral:rRNA from 1 species
GACGAACGCUGGCGGCGUGCCUAAUACAUGCAAGUAGAGCGCACAGUUUAUACCGUAGCUUGCUACACCAUAGACUGUGAGUUGCGAACGGGUGAGUAACGCGUAGGUAACCUGCCUGGUAGCGGGGGAUAACUAUUGGAAACGAUAGCUAAUACCGCAUAAUAUUAAUUAUUGCAUGAUAAUUAAUUGAAAGGUGCAAUUGCACCACUACCAGAUGGACCUGCGUUGUAUUAGCUAGUAGGUGAGGUAACGGCUCACCUAGGCGACGAUACAUAGCCGACCUGAGAGGGUGAUCGGCCACACUGGGACUGAGACACGGCCCAGACUCCUACGGGAGGCAGCAGUAGGGAAUCUUCGGCAAUGGACGAAAGUCUGACCGAGCAACGCCGCGUGAGUGAAGAAGGGUUUCGGAUCGUAAAGCUCUGUUGUAAGAGAAGAACGGGUGUGAGAGUGGAAAGUUCACACUGUGACGGUAGCUUACCAGAAAGGGACGGCUAACUACGUG